GAUAAAAUUUUUAUGUUUUAUCUAAUUUAUUAUAAAUUUGUUUUACAUAUAAAUUUUAGUAUAAAAUUUUAAUUAUUUGAAUAAUAAUUAAUUUAAAAUUGUAGUAAUUAAAAUUAAAAAUUUAAGAAAUUAAGAUUUAGUAAUAUAAAAAUUAAUAACUAAUUUUGUGCCAGCAGUUGCGGUUAUACAAAAAUUAAUAUAAAUUUUUUCAGUAUAUAAUAAAUAAAAGUUAAUUAAAAUCAAUAUUAAAUUAUUAAGUGAAAUUUUAAUUUAAUUAAAUUUUAAAAUAAUUUUAUGAUUUAAUAAAUUUAAUAAUAAACUAGGAUUAGAUACCCUAUUAUUAGAAAUUUAAUUAAUAAUACUAAAAUAGUAGAUAAAAAAUAUUGAAACUUAAAUAAUAUGGCGGUAUUUUAGUUCAUUUAGAGGAAUCUGUCUAAUAAUUGAUAAUCCACGAAUAAAUUUACUUAAUUUAAGAUUUUAUAUAUCGUUGUUAAAAAAAUAUUUUUAAAUAAAAAUAAUAUUUAAAAAUUUUAAAAAAAAAUUAAUUCAGAUCAAGAUGUAGAAAAUAAUUAAGAAUAUGAUGGAUUACAAUAAAAUAAUUUAAACGAAUAGUUUUAUUUUAAUAUAAAAUUGAAGGUGGAUUUAAAUGUAAUUUUAAUUAAUUUAUUAAAAUGAUUAAAAAUUAAAAUAUGUACAUAUUGCCCGUCACUUUCAUUUAAAAAUUGGAAUAAGUCGUAACAAAGUAGAGGUACUGGAAAGUGUUUCUAGAAUAAA
rnacentral:ncRNA from 1 species